rnacentral:rRNA from 1 species
UGCCAGCCGCCGCGGUAAUACGUAGGGGGCAAGCGUUGCUCGGAAUUACUGGGCGUAAAGGGUCCGUAGGCGGUGGGGCAUGUCGGUUGUGAAAUCUCCCGGCUUAACUGGGAGGGUGCGACCGAAACUGCUCCGCUGGAGGGCCGGAGGGGCGAGUGGAAUUGCUGGUGCAGCGGUGAAAUGCGUAGAGAUCAGCAGGAACACCGGAGGCGAAGGCGGCUCACUGGACGGCACCUGACGCUGAGGGACGAAAGCUAGGGGAGCAAACAGGAUUAGAUA